CAAAUCCUAAAAAAACACUGGUACCUAAUAGAAAACGACCCAACGUUAAAAAUAUUAUGGCCAAAUAUACCUAUGGUCGCAUACAAACGUAAUAAAAACAUUAAAGAAAUGCUAGUUAGCAGCAAACUAAAAAAGACUGGAAACAAAUCCAGCGAUUAAUUUCGCACAAUGACACUAUACGGAAACAUAACAGAAACAACAAAUCACUGUGGUCAUGCUUGCUUGAAAACAUACACCAAAGACCAAGAUAGAGAAUGAUGAUGUCUGAAGACAAUACCGAAACAAAAAGACAUGAUGAUGGGGAAACAAAGAAAAAAAGAGACAUAAGGACGGCUCUUGUUGACAAAAUACUUAUCGUGCAAUCAGAUAACUAAAAUUCGACAAUGAAAAUUUUUCAUAAUUUUCAGCCAAAUAUUAAUCUCGGUUCUGAACACCUCUCAAUCAACAGAUAUCAAAAAAUUAUUAAAAAAGCAUAUGAUUUAUAAAUCAAAUAGCUACAAACUAUAGGGACAAAUGCAUCCUUAAUAACAUCACAGCAUCAAGGUUUAAACAAUUGGAAAUAAAAUCCUAAUUAAUACAUACACUCAGUGUAUACACCACAAUGUGUAUAUAAAUCCUACUACACACACACGCCAAUUUGUAUAUAAUAAUAUAAAUCCACAUCAUGAUGAACAUAGUACUAAUAAUAUUUUUACAGAUGUUUAUGUGUUUCUUAUGUUUAUGUUUUUUGUUGGGUUUUUUUUUGUUGUUGUUGUUUUUUUUUUGCUUUUUUUCCCUUUUUUUCUUCAAUGCAUGUGCCUGGUCACAAUGAAAUUCCCUCUCUCACCAACUAGAUCUGGGGGCGGACAGACAAUUCUCACACUUAUGACUAAUAAAAUUUAAUUUUUUUUUGUUCACAUUCUUUGGUUAUCAGUUUAGCCCACGACACAUCACACACUAAUUAUACAUACAAACUGAUACCUAAUUACACCUGACAAACAUGCACGCCAUCAAACCACAUGACGUCAACUAUUCAAGAACAACUCACUAAAACUGGACUUCAGGGGCCCAACACCCAUGCAUUCUUGUACACGCACAUUUGGCGAACAGACAAAAAAAUUGUUUCAAAUAAUAAAAGGAAAACGCACAGGGAAUUGUAUUAAUCAACUCCAACAGUAGAAUGGCUGGAUGAUGCGGUUUACCACCAAAUAAUUCAUUCAGUAAGUUUUUUAUAUUAAGAUAGUUAAAUUUAGAUUUUCCUGUGUUCCAUUUCUAUUCAUCAAUUUUUCAUUGUUUUAUGUUUUCUAUCAUUUUACUACUCACCAUUUCUCCAUCACCCAUUUUGAACAACACCACUCUCACUGCCAUUUUUCACGCCAACAACCAACAAAACAUCGACUCCCAUCCCUAAAGCCCCUCCUGAUGAAGGUCAUGAGACCGAAACGCGUCGAGGGCCAAACAAAUGAAAAAGCACAAUUAACACAACUAUAUAUACUGUAUCUUUCAUAUGAUAUAUACCAUCCGCUAACAUACCUCACAAGCACGGUCAACCCAAGACUCCUUGAGGUGUGCUAUAGCCCCAAUACACAGUCACGUCAUUAUUCAAUGUUCCAUUUAAAAUCACAACAUCUCUCCAAUACCAUCCAUUUAUCUCCUUGAUGUUAUUUUUUAUUUUUUGUUGAAC
rnacentral:lncRNA from 1 species